AUGGUGUGCCUAUCUUUAAUGAUAGGAGAGGAGGGUAACAGAAUGGCUGGGAACUUCCACAGCUCCAAGAAUAUGCGGAGGAGGUGGCCCGGGUCGGCGUCAGCGCCGUCCGGCGUGGGCCACGGGCCCGCUUCCAAGUGCGUCUGCACGCCGGCCACCCACGUCAGGUCCUUCAAGUGCCGCUUCCACCGCACCAACUCCCAGGGCCACGGCCACGGCUAG
rnacentral:rRNA from 1 species